CCGAGUGCCAGCCCCUCGCGGGCUGAACCUCCCACCCUUGUCUCUGAUACACCCUGUUGCUUUGGCGGGCCCACCGGGGUCCUCCCCGGUCGCCGAGGGGCAUCCCGCCCCUGGGCCCGUGCCCGCCGGAGCGCCCAUGAACCCGAAUGAAGAUGGAUUGUCUGAGUGUGGGAUGAGAAUUGUCA
rnacentral:misc_RNA from 1 species